CCGUGAAUGUGGCCUAGGGACCAAAGCAACUAGCCGCGUUUGCCAGCAUGGCAUCUCAAUGGCCUGGGGUUCCAAUGCCCUUGCUUAUGACUGGAAAGUUCGAGUCCCCCAUAUUACAUUUUAUGAUCUGGUGCUUAAGUCACCUUAGUAUAAGAUUGGGAGGUUUGAGUCCACCAUGCAUAUAUAUUAUAUUAUUCUCCAGUUUAUACGACUACACGCACUGCAAUCAGAGGGUGAGAGUUGGGGACCAUAUAGCCUAUAAGCACUAUUAAAUAAUGGUUAAGCUACAAAAUAUAGGAUAAAGUUUAAAAAUGUAUUGGUGAUGUCCAAGCU
rnacentral:lncRNA from 1 species